CGUGCUCGAAAAUGUUAAAGUUCUUAUUUCAUGGUAUAACUUUGGUAUGCUUGGACCUAGAGUCUUCAAACUUGACAUGAAGGUUGGCCAGGAUUAACAGAUGACCACUGGUCAUUUCAAGGUCAUUCAUUUGAAGGUCAAGGUCACUGUGACCUUCAAUAUAAAAAAUGUUAAAGUUCUUAUAACUUUGGUAUGCUUGGACCUAGAGUCUUGAAACUUGACAUGAAUGUUGGCCAUAACUAGUUAGUAACCACUGGUCAUUUCAAGGUCAUUCAUUUGAAGGUCAAGGUCACUGUGACCUUGAAUGUAAAAAUGUUAAAGUUCUUAUUUCAUGGUAUAACUUUGGUAUGCUUGGACCUAGAGUCUUCAAACUUGACAUGAAGGUUGGCCAGGAUUAACAGAUGACCACUGGUCAUUUCAAGGUCAUUCAUUUGAAGGUGAAGGUCACUGUGACCUUCAAUAUAAAAAUGUUAAAGUUGUUAUAACUUUGGUAUGCUUGGACCUAGAGUCUUGAAACUUGACAUGAAGGUUGGCCAGAACUAGUAAGUAACCACUGGACAUUUCAAGGUCAUUCAUUUGAAGGUCAAGGUCACUGUGACCUUGAAUGUAAAAAUGUUAAAGUUGUUAUAACUUUGGUAUGCUUGGACCUAGAGUCUUGAAACUUGACAUGAAGGUUGGCCAGAACUAGUAAGUAACCACUGGACAUUUCAAGGUCAUUCAUUUGAAGGUCAAGGUCACUGUGACCUUGAAUGUAAAAAUGUUAAAGUUGUUAUAACUUUGGUAUGCUUGGACCUAGAGUCUUGAAACUUGACAUGAAGGUUGGCCAGAACUAGUAAGUAACCACUGGACAUUUCAAGGUCAUUCAUUUGAAGGUCAAGGUCACUGUGACCUUGAAUGUAAAAAUGUUAAAGUUCUUAUUUCAUGUUAUAACUUUGGUAUGCUUGUACCUAGAGUCUUCAAACUUGAAAUAAAGAUUGGCCAGUACUAGAAGAUGACCACUGGUCAUUUCAAUGUCAUUCAUUUGAAGGUCAAGGUCACUGUGACCUUAAAUGUUAAAAUGUUAAAAUUGUUAUAACUUUGGUAUGCUUGGACAUAGAGUCUUCAAACUUGACAUGAAGGUUUGCAAGCACACUUAGAUGACCACUGGUCAUUUCAAGGUCAUUCAUUCUAAGGUCAAGGUCACUGUGACCUUGAAUGUAAAAAUGUUAAAGUUCUUAUAACUUUGGUAGGUAAAAAUGUUAAAUGUCAAUUCAAGUUCAUAUUUGUGACCUUAAAUGUUAUUGUUGUUCAUGUAUAUGCAUGCAUUCAAAACAUAACACAAGGUUUGCUCAUGCCUUGAAAAGUACUUACAUUUCAUUUUGACCUUUGAACAAUAUUUCAGUAAUUUAAGUAUUGCAUUGACAAAAACACGAAAGGUACUUUCCUGUCAUUUAAAUCAAAAAUCCGGCUUCAAUGCGGUCAUCUCCGACCGCGGAACUCUUGUU